AGGACGAACGCUGGCGGCGUGCUUAACACAUGCAAGUCGAACGGUAAGGCCCCUUCGGGGGGUACACGAGUGGCGAACGGGUGAGUAACACGUGAGCAACCUGCCCUUGACUUCGGAAUACCAGUUGGAAACAGCUGCUAAUACCGGAUAUGACCUCUUCCUUCCUGGGUUGAGGUGGAAAGCUCCGGCGGUCAAGGAUGGGCUCGCGGCCUAUCAGCUUGUUGGUGAGGUAAUGGCUCACCAAGGCUUCGACGGGUA
rnacentral:rRNA from 1 species